rnacentral:rRNA from 1 species
GAUGAACGCUAGCGAUAGGCUUAACACAUGCAAGUCGAGGGGCAGCAUGGUCUUAGCUUGCUAAGACUGAUGGCGACCGGCGCACGGGUGCGUAACGCGUAUGCAACUUGCCUCACAGAGGGGGAUAACCCGUCGAAAGACGGACUAAUACCGCGUACACUUGGGAUAGGGCAUCCUGACCCAAGGAAAUGAAAUUCGCUGUGAGAUAGGCAUGCGUCCCAUUAGCUAGUUGGUGAGGUAACGGCUCACCAAGGCGACGAUGGGUAGGGGAACUGAGAGGUUGAACCCCCACACUGGUACUGAGACACGGACCAGACUCCUACGGGAGGCAGCAGUGAGGAAUAUUGGUCAAUGGGCGAGAGCCUGAACCAGCCAAGUCGCGUGAAGGAUGACUGUCUUAUGGAUUGUAAACCUCUUUUAUACGGGAAUAACAAGAGCCACGUGUGGCUCCCUGCAUGUACCGUAUGAAUAAGCAUCGGCUAACUCCGUG